rnacentral:other from 1 species
CGUUCUCUGGGGUGUUCGCCAGUUGUCGAAGUCCCUCGAGCCUAUGUGUAGUACCUGGGGGCAUUAUGCUAGUGAGGGGCCGUGUGCAUGUCCGUGCGUCGGAACGCCUAAAGCCCUUCCUGCAGCCACCCACCUGAACCAGUAGGUUCAGGGCCAGAACAACAGCGGCACUCUGGAGAACUC